rnacentral:rRNA from 1 species
CUGGCAGUGCGCUCUAUAAUGCAAGUCGAACGAACUCUGGUAUUGAUUGGUGCUUGCAUCAUGAUUUACAUUUGAGUGAGUGGCGAACUGGUGAGUAACACGUGGGAAACCUGCCCAGAAGCGGGGGAUAACACCUGGAAACAGAUGCUAAUACCGCAUAACAACUUGGACCGCAUGGUCCAAGUUUGAAAGAUGGCUUCGGCUAUCACUUUUGGAUGGUCCCGCGGCGUAUUAGCUAGAUGGUGGGGUAACGGCUCACCAUGGCAAUGAUACGUAGCCGACCUGAGAGGGUAAUCGGCCACAUUGGGACUGAGACACGGCCCAAACUCCUACGGGAGGCAGCAGUAGGGAAUCUUCCACAAUGGACGAAAGUCUGAUGGAGCAACGCCGCGUGAGUGAAGAAGGGUUUCGGCUCGUAAAACUCUGUUGUUAAAGAAGAACAUAUCUGAGAGUAACUGUUCAGGUAUUGACGGUAUUUAACCAGAAAGCCACGGCUAACUACGUGCCAGCAGCCGCGGUAAUACGUAGGUGGCAAGCGUUGUCCGGAUUUAUUGGGCGUAAAGCGAGCGCAGGCGGUUUUUUAAGUCUGAUGUGAAAGCCUUCGGCUCAACCGAAGAAGUGCAUCGGAAACUGGGAAACUUGAGUGCAGAAGAGGACAGUGGAACUCCAUGUGUAGCGGUGAAAUGCGUAGAUAUAUGGAAGAACACCAGUGGCGAAGGCGGCUGUCUGGUCUGUAACUGACGCUGAGGCUCGAAAGUAUGGGUAGCAAACAGGAUUAGAUACCCUGGUAGUCCAUACCGUAAACGAUGAAUGCUAAGUGUUGGAGGGUUUCCGCCCUUCAGUGCUGCAGCUAACGCAUUAAGCAUUCCGCCUGGGGAGUACGGCCGCAAGGCUGAAACUCAAAGGAUUUGACAGGGGCCCGCACAAGCGGUGGAGCAUGUGGUUUAAUUCGAAGCUACGCGAAGAACCUUACCAGUCUUGACAUACUAUGCAAAUCUAAGAGAUUAGACGUUCCCUUCGGGACA